AGCCUCCCAAUGCUUACCACAGGCUGUGUUCUUUACACUGACUGCAUAGAAAAAGGAGGUACUGUAAACGCACCCCUUAUCCACCUCAACCCAGGCUCUUUGCUUGGUCUGUAUUGUGAAUGGGGCGACAAAG